AACGCUGGCGGCAGGCCUAACACAUGCAAGUCGAGCGGCAGCGGAAAGUAGCUUGCUACUUUGCCGGCGAGCGGCGGACGGGUGAGUAAUGUCUGGGAAACUGCCUGAUGAGGGGGAUAACUACUGGAAACGGUAGCUAAUACCGCAUAACCUCGAAAGAGCAAAGUGGGGGAUCUUCGGACCUCACGCCAUCGGAUGUGCCCAGAUGGGAUUAGCUAGUAGGUGAGGUAAUGGCUCACCUAGGCGACGAUCCCUAGCUGGUCUGAGAGGAUGACCAGCCACACUGGAACUGAGACACGGUCCAGACUCCUACGGGAGGCAGCAGUGGGGAAUAUUGCACAAUGGGCGCAAGCCUGAUGCAGCCAUGCCGCGUGUGUGAAGAAGGCCUUAGGGUUGUAAAGCACUUUCAGCGAGGAGGAAGGCAUCAUACUUAAUACGUGUGGUGAUUGACGUUACUCGCAGAAGAAGCACCGGCUAACUCCGUG
rnacentral:rRNA from 1 species